GAUGAACGCUGGCGGCGUGCCUAAUACAUGCAAGUCGAGCGAACAGACGAGGAGCUUGCUCCUCUGACGUUAGCGGCGGACGGGUGAGUAACACGUGGAUAACCUACCUAUAAGACUGGGAUAACUUCGGGAAACCGGAGCUAAUACCGGAUAAUAUAUUGAACCGCAUGGUUCAAUAGUGAAAGACGGUUUUGCUGUCACUUAUAGAUGGAUCCGCGCCGCAUUAGCUAGUUGGUAAGGUAACGGCUUACCAAGGCGACGAUGCGUAGCCGACCUGAGAGGGUGGUCGGCCACACGGGAAGUGAGACACGGUCCAGACUCCUACGGUAGGCAGCAGUAGGGAAUCUUCCGCGAUGGGGGAGAGCCGGACGGUGCAACGUCGCGUGAGUGAUGAAGGUCUUCGGAUCGUAAAGCGCUGUUAUUAGGGAAGAACAAAUGUGUAAGUAACUAUGCACGUCUUGACGGUACCUAAUCAGAAAGCCACGGCUAACUACGUG
rnacentral:rRNA from 1 species